UACGUAGGGUGCGAGCGUUAAUCGGAAUUACUGGGCGUAAAGCGUGCGCAGGCGGUUGUGCAAGACAGAGGUGAAAGCCCCGGGCUCAACCUGGGAAUGGCAUUGGAAACUGGCGGACUAGAGUGUGGCAGAGGGGGGGUGGAAUUCCGCGUGUAGCAGUGAAAUGCGUAGAGAUGCGGAGGAACACCGAUGGCGAAGGCAGCCCCCCUGGGCUAACACUGACGCUCAGGCACGAAAGCGUGGGGAGCAAACAGG
rnacentral:rRNA from 1 species